rnacentral:rRNA from 1 species
GGAGGAAAAGAAACUAACAAGGAUUCCCCUAGUAGCGGCGAGCGAAGCGGGAAGAGCUCAAAUUUAUAAUCUGGCACCUUCGGUGUCCGAGUUGUAAUCUCUAGAAAUGUUUUCCGCGUUGGACCGCACACAAGUCUGUUGGAAUACAGCGGCAUAGUGGUGAGACCCCCGUAUAUGGUGCGGACGCCCAGCGCUUUGUGAUACAUUUUCGAAGAGUCGAGUUGUUUGGGAAUGCAGCUCAAAUUGGGUGGUAAAUUCCAUCUAAAGCUAAAUAUUGGCGAGAGACCGAUAGCGAACAAGUACCGUGAGGGAAAGAUGAAAAGCACUUUGGAAAGAGAGUUAACAGUACGUGAAAUUGUUGGAAGGGAAACGCUUGAAGUCAGACUUGCUUGCCGAGCAAUCGGUUUGCAGGCCAGCAUCAGUUUUCCGGGAUGGAUAAUGGUAGAGAGAAGGUAGCAGUUUCGGCUGUGUUAUAGCUCUCUGCUGGAUACAUCUUGGGGGACUGAGGAACGCAGUGUGCCUUUGGCGGGGGUUUCGACCUCUUCACACUUAGGAUGCUGGUGGAAUGGCUUUAAACGACCCGUC